CGGGAAAGUAUGCAGUUUCAUACUAUAACUUCGAUAAGUAAUAGCAGAAUUGACUCCGGUUUUCUUAUAUAAUAAAAGAGCAAAUAAAACCUUCUCUGUGUGAUUUGAAUGCCCGACUAAUAUAAUAUUUCCGACUUUGUAUGGUUUCAGAGGAGUUACAGCUCAAUGAAAUCGGUCUCUUCCUUUAGAGGUAUAUAAAAAAAACUGCAAAAAUAUGUUAAAAAUAACUCCAAAUGGGUUGUUAGAUUUCAGAAUAGAUAUUUCGUAUGGUGCUGAUUAUUUUAUUCUUUACACUAGCUCCUAUAUCAUUUUAAA
rnacentral:lncRNA from 1 species